CUCUAGCAAGACUGCCGGUGACAAACCGGAGGAAGGUGGGGAUGACGUCAAAUCAUCAUGCCCCUUAUGACCUGGGCUACACACGUGCUACAAUGGGAAGUACAACGAGUCGCGAAGUCGCGAGGCUAAGCUAAUCUCUUAAAGCUUCUCUCAGUUCGGAUUGCAGGCUGCAACUCGCCUGCAUGAAGCCGGAAUCGCUAGUAAUCGCGGAUCAGCACGCC
rnacentral:rRNA from 1 species